rnacentral:rRNA from 1 species
UACGGAGGGUGCAAACGUUGCUCGGAAUCAUUGGGCGUAAAGCGCACGUAGGCGGCGGUGUAAGCGGAAUGUGAAAGCCCAGGGCUCAACCCUGGAAGUGCAUCCCGAACUGCAUCGCUUGAAUCUCGGAGGGGGACAGAGAAUUCCCGGUGUAGAGGUGAAAUUCGUAGAUAUCGGGAGGAAUACCAGUGGCGAAGGCGCUGUCCUGGACGAAGAUUGACGCUGAGGUGCGAAAGCGUGGGGAGCAAACAGG